rnacentral:rRNA from 1 species
GAUGAACGCUGACAGAAUGCUUAACACAUCAGCAAUUGAUUGGUGGCGUACGGGUGAGUAACGCGUAAAGAACUUGCCCCACAGCUAGGGACAACAUUAGGAAACAAACGCUAAUACCUAAUACUGUGAGAGAGCUUUGCGUCCCAUUAGUUAGUUGGAGAGGUAACGGCUCACCAAGGCGAUGAUGGGUAGCCGGCCUGAGAGGGUGAUCGGCCACAAGGGGAAUGAGUCACGGCCCUUACUCCUACGGGAGGCAGCAGUGCAGAAUGUUGGACAAUGUACCAAAGUCUGAUCCAGCAAUUCUGUGUGCACGAUGAAGUUUUCGGAAUGUACAGUGCUUUCAGUUGGGAAGCGGUACCAACAGAAGAAGUGACGGCUAAAUACGUGCCAGCAGCCGCGGUAAUAC